AUUGAACGCUGGCGGCAUGCUUUACACAUGCAAGUCGAACGGCAGCGCGGGCUUCGGCCUGGCGGCGAGUGGCGAACGGGUGAGUAAUACAUCGGAACGUGCCCAGUAGUGGGGGAUAGCUCGGCGAAAGCCGGAUUAAUACCGCAUACGACCUGAGGGUGAAAGCGGGGGAUCUUCGGACCUCGCGCUAUUGGAGCGGGCGAUGGCAGAUUAACUAGUUGGUGGGGUAAAGGCCUACCAAGGCGACUAUCCGUAGCUGGUCUGAGAGGACGGCCAGCCACACUGGGACUGAGACACGGCCCAGACUCCUACGGGAGGCAGCAGUGGGGAAUGUUGGACAAUGGGCGAAAGCCUGAUCCAGCAAUGCCGCGUGUGUGAUGAAGGCCUUCGGGUUGUAAAGCACUUUUGGCGGGAACGAAAAGGACUGUGCCAAUACCACGGUUCGAUGACGGUACCCGCAGAAUAAGCACCGGCUAACUACGUG
rnacentral:rRNA from 1 species